rnacentral:rRNA from 1 species
UACGUAGGGGGCGAGCGUUGUCCGAAGUUACUGGGCGUAAAGCGUGCGCAGGCGGCUUUGUAAGACAGAUGUGAAAUCCCCGGGCUUAACCUGGGAACUGCAUUUGUGACUGCAAGACUAGAGUGCGGCAGAGGGGGGUAGAAUUCCACGUGUAGCAGUGAAAUGCGUAGAUAUGUGGAGGAAUACCGAUGGCGAAGGCAGCCCCCUGGGUCGACACUGACGCUCAUGCACGAAAGCGUGGGGAGCAAACAGG